rnacentral:rRNA from 1 species
ACGGAAGGCAGCAGUGGGGAAUAUUGCACAAUGGGGGAAGCCCUGGUGCAGCGACGCCGCGUGAAGGAAGAAGUACCUCGGUAUGUAAACUUCUAUCAGCAGGGAAGAUAGUGACGGUACCUGACUAAGAAGCCCCGGCUAACUACGUGCCAGCAGCCGCGGUAAUACGUAGGGGGCAAGCGUUAUCCGGAUUUACUGGGUGUAAAGGGAGCGUAGACGGUGUGGCAAGUCUGAUGUGAAAGGCAUGGGCUCAACCUGUGGACUGCAUUGGAAACUGUCAUACUUGAGUGCCGGAGGGGUAAGCGGAAUUCCUAGUGUAGCGGUGAAAUGCGUAGAUAUUAGGAGGAACACCAGUGGCGAAGGCGGCUUACUGGACGGUAACUGACGUUGAGGCUCGAAAGCGUGGGGAGCAAACAGGAUUAGAUACCCUGGUA